UCGUAACAAGGUUUCCGUAGGUGAACCUGCGGAAGGAUCAUUACUGUGAUUAUUUGUUCCACACUGCGUGAGCGCACACAACACACAAACAAGUAUACUAGUUCAGGAGUUUUUAUAUUAACACAAAACUUUCAACAACGGAUCUCUUGGUUCUCGCAUCGAUGAAGAGCGCAGCGAAAUGCGAUACCUAGUGUGAAUUGCAGCCAUCGUGAAUCAUCGAGUUCUUGAACGCACAUUGCGCCCGUCGGCAUUCCGGCGGGCAUGCCUGUCUGAGCGUCGUUUCCUUCUUGCAAGACGAGAGUUGCGCAGAGCUGGCCCGGCCACGGCCCCGCCGAAAAGAAACGAGGCCACGAGCGAACUAGAACAGGACGCUUGGGGUCUCCGAGCACAUACGAGCUCGACCUCAGAUCAGGUAGGAAUACCCGCUGAACUUAAGCAUAUCAAUAAGCGGAGGAAAAGAAACCAACAGGGAUUGCCUCAGUAGCGGCGAGUGAAGCGGCAAGAGCUCAGAUUUGAAAUCGUGUUU
rnacentral:misc_RNA from 1 species